ACCCUGAUGGCAACGGUGCGCUGCGGCCGG
rnacentral:sRNA from 1 species